AUGAGAGCUGGCUGGAGGGGAGCUGGCUCCACCCGUGCUCCCUUCCAUCCCAUCUGGAAAAUCCAGACGUUCCUCUCACCUUCCAGUUCCAUUAUCCAGCCCUUGCACAAUGCACCUCAGAGAUGGGAGAAGAGACAGAGUCUGCCCUCAAAGCAGUGUGGAACACACCAGGUGCUCCCCCCUGACACCCUGCCAGGUUUGCCUCAGGCACACAGGUGGAUAUUUGUCUGUGGGGAGGGUCUCAGCAGCCUGGGCGUGCUGGCCUUUGUGCUUUGGUGUUGCCAGUGCAUUAUUUAUAUAUCCAAAAGGAGCCAGAAGAGAGGUGGGUGCUCAGCUGAAGUUUAAGGUAACUAAACUGACCUAAUUCCUGUCAAAAAUAAUCAGGAUUAAACCUGCACUGUUCCAAGAUGGAAAACUGGGCCCCAGGGUCUGGCUGGGGCUGCUCUGGGUGAUGCUCCUGUCAGGAUUUGCUUUGUGGCGCCAGAACCAUUGAGCUGCUUCUUUAGUUAAUUUAAAUGUGCAUCAUUAGCAGUUAACUUCGUGCCUUCCCAGGCUUGGCAGGUCCUUACUGGGCUGAACAGGAGCUUUCCAUCCAAACCAGCUUCAGCUGUGCUGCUCCCUGCUCCUGCCCAGACCCCUCAUCUCCUCCAGGCUCUGGGAUCCCUCAGCCCUAAGGACUCCAGAGCCUUUGGCACGGCAGGAACUUUCCAGGGUGUGCAAUUCCUGAUGGGGCAGGAGCUCUGCAGGGUUAAUUCCUGACUAAAGCAGGAGUUCUGCAGGGUUAAUUCCUGAUGGGGCAGGAGCUCUGCAGGGUUAGUAAUUCCUGGUGGAGAAGGAGUUCUGCAGGGUUAGUAAUUCCUGAUGGGGCAGUUCUGCAGGGAUAAUAAUUCCUGAUGGGGCAGUUCUGCAGGGGUAAUAAUUCCUGAUGGGGCAGUUCUGCAGGGUUAAUAAUUCCUGAUGGGGCAGUUCUGCAGGGUAAAUUCCUGAUGGGGCAGUUCUGCAGGGGUAGUUCCCGAUGGGGCAGGAGCUCUGCAGUGUUUGCUGCUGGGGAACAUCUCAGGGUGAUGGUGGGCACAGAGGGAAAGCAGGGCUGUCCCCAGGCUCUCCUGCCAGCAUUAACCCCAGCAGCACAGAGCAUUUCCUCUCCUUUGGCCUCGGACCUUGUUGUUCGGGAGAAAAUGAAACAAUAAAGGAGCGUUUGGAGUGAUUUCGUUAGAAAUCCAUCAGGCUGUCAGACAGUCCAGUGGCAUCAAUAAUUCCCUAUUAAGCCCUCUACACCCAUUAUGGUUUGUGCUUUUCCUUUUUUUUUUUUUUUUUUUUUAAGGGGGGGGGGGGGGGGUUUUCCUUUUUUUUUUUUUUUUUUUCCAAAGUUAGUUUCCAGGCAACCAGUAAGAACUGAAUUGCAUUAAGCUAUUAAUUCAGCCUUGCAUGCCAGCUCCAGCUUCUGCAGCCCAGCUCUUCCUCUCCUCUACAAGUGUCCUCCUAAAACCCCUU
rnacentral:lncRNA from 1 species